AUGGCGAGCCACGCGCACGGGCACGGCCUGCUGCUCGACCCGGCCGCGCUCGCCUACUCCUGGGCCGCCGAGCCGGAGAUCCCGCCGCAGCUGCUCGCCGCGCUGGGCGAGUACCUCUCCUCCUCCGCCGCUGGCUCCCACGGGGGCAACCAGUCUGCCGUCGACGCCGAGGCCGACGCGGAGGCGGACGACGAGUUCAUGAUGUACGAGUUCAAGGUGCGGCGGUGCGCGCGCGCGCGGAGCCACGACUGGACGGCCUGCGCCUACGCGCACCCGGGGGAGGCGGCGCGGCGCCGGGACCCGCGCCGCGUGGCCUACGCGGGGGAGCCAUGCCCGGACUUCCGCCGCCGCCCGGGCGCCGCGUGCCCGCGCGGGGCCUCCUGCCCCUUCGCGCACGGCACCUUCGAGCUCUGGCUCCACCCGUCCCGCUACCGCACCCGCCCCUGCCGCGCCGGCCCGGCCUGCCGCCGCCGCGUCUGCUUCUUCGCGCACGCGGCCGGGGAGCUCCGCCUCGCCUCCCACCACAAGGGGCCCGACUCGCCGCUGGCGCUGUCGCCCAAGUCCACGCUCACCGCGCUCUGGGAGUCGCCCCCGGUGUCGCCGGUGGAGGGCAGGAUGAGGUGGCUGGACGCCGUAGACGACGCCGCCGCCGCCGACGCCGAGGUCGAGGAGAUCAUGCUCGCAAUGCAGCAGCUCAGCUUCGCCAACGCAGCAGCACCGUCGGCACCGUCGGGAACGCUGCCGGCGGUGACGGAGGACGACGGGCCGGACCUGGGGUGGGUGUCGGAGCUGGUCAUGUGA
rnacentral:rRNA from 1 species